CAGGAUUUCCGCAGGAGACUGAUUGAAUUCCUCUCCAUGUCACUUCAACACACUUACUGGCUUAGAAAUGAUGACAAUGUCCUCCUGCUAGUAGUGAGAACCAAUGGGGUCGGUAUUCCCAGGAUGGGGAGACUUGGACAGGGUGCCAGAACUCAGCCACUACACGUGGGACUGCAAGAAGAGAGAGCUGUAAACUACUGCAGGGAAGAAACGUUUUCCAGAUGACACUGCUCCAUAAAUGGUGUUGUAGGAUGUCAAUUAACUGUGAUGGGAGAGGCACAUCUCUAGAGUACUCACCAGAUCUCUUUUGACAAUGAAGUGUCAUUUUGGAGAUAAAUGAAACAUGUGUGGACAGUUUUUCUACAGAAUGGAAAGAGAAUUCUCACCACAAUGUUGUCAUAUUUUGAUGUUCACUGAGUUUGUGACUUCCAGAUCAAAAUCUGAAUGUCUAACAUGAUAGCCUUACACAGUAAAAAUGAGAAGUUGCUGUGCAAAUGGGAGUUUCAGCUGAGGUGGAAGACUGAACCAUUUCCUUUGGAAAAGAAGGAGAUAACAAGGAAAAUGGAUGUUCAGCAAUUUUCUACUGAAGAAAGAAAAAGGGUUUGCCAUGUGCUGAGGCCCUGGACUGCACUUAGGUCGGGGCUCAUGCCCUGUCCCCGUGCAUGGUCCCUAUCUGAAAAGGGCAACAUUAACAUG